rnacentral:rRNA from 1 species
CUACGGUCCGCACCAGUGGGGAAUUUUGCGCAAUGGGGGAAACCCUGACGCAGCAAUACCGCGUGAGUGAAGAAGGCCUUUGGGUCGUAAAGCUCUUUUCUUGGGGAAGAUAGUGACGGUACCCAAGGAAUAAGCACCGGCUAACUCCGUGCCAGCAGCCGCGGUAAUACGGAGGGUGCAAGCGUUGUUCGGAUUUACUGGGCGUAAAGGGCACGUAGGCGGCACAGCAAGUUAAGGGUGAAAUCCCGUGGCUCAACUCCGGAACUGCUCUUAAAACUGCUGAGAUAGAGAUAGUCAGAGGCGGGUGGAAUUCCAGGUGUAGAGGUGAAAUUCGUAGAUAUCUGGAGGAACACCGGUGGCGAAGGCGGCCCGCUGGGGCUAUUCUGACGCUAAGGUGCGAAAGCGUGGGGAGCAAACGGGAUUAAAUACCCUCGUAGUC